GACGAACGCUUGCGGCGUGCUUAACACAUGCAAGUCGAACGGAAAGGCCCUGCUUUUGUGGGGUGCUCGAGUGGCGAACGGGUGAGUAACACGUGAGUAACCUGCCCUUGACUUUGGGAUAACUUCAGGAAACUGGGGCUAAUACCGGAUAGGAGCUCCUGCUGCAUGGUGGGGGUUGGAAAGUUUCGGCGGUUGGGGAUGGACUCGCGGCUUAUCAGCUUGUUGGUGGGGUAGUGGCUUACCAAGGCUUUGACGGGUAGCCGGCCUGAGAGGGUGACCGGCCACAUUGGGACUGAGAUACGGCCCAGACUCCUACGGGAGGCAGCAGUGGGGAAUAUUGCACAAUGGGCGGAAGCCUGAUGCAGCAACGCCGCGUGCGGGAUGACGGCCUUCGGGUUGUAAACCGCUUUCGCCUGUGACGAAGCGUGAGUGACGGUAAUGGGUAAAGAAGCACCGGCUAACUACGUGCCAGCAGCCGCGGUGAUACGUAGGGUGCGAGCGUUGUCCGGAUUUAUUGGGCGUAAGGGCUCGUAGGUGGUUGAUCGCGUCGGAAGUGUAAUCUUGGGGCUUAACCCUGAGCGUGCUUUCGAUACGGGUUGACUUGAGGAAGGUAGGGGAGAAUGGAAUUCCUGGUGGAGCGGUGGAAUGCGCAGAUAUCAGGAGGAACACCAGUGGCGAAGGCGGUUCUCUGGGCCUUUCCUGACGCUGAGGAGCGAAAGCGUGGGGAGCGAACAGGCUUAGAUACCCUGGUAGUCCACGCUGUAAACGGUGGGUACUAGGUGUGGGGUCCAUUCCACGGGUUCCGUGCCGUAGCUAACGCUUUAAGUACCCCGCCUGGGGAGUACGGCCGCAAGGCUAAAACUCAAAGGAAUUGACGGGGCCCCGCACAAGCGGCGGAGCAUGCGGAUUAAUUCGAUGCAACGCGUAGAACCUUACCUGGGUUUGACAUGGAUCGGGAGUGCUCAGAGAUGGGUGUGCCUCUUUUGGGGUCGGUUCACAGGUGGUGCAUGGCUGUCGUCAGCUCGUGUCGUGAGAUGUUGGGUUAAGUCCCGCAACGAGCGCAACCCUUGUUCACUGUUGCCAGCACGUUAUGGUGGGGACUCAGUGGAGACCGCCGGGGUCAACUCGGAGGAAGGUGGGGAUGACGUCAAGUCAUCAUGCCCCUUAUGUCCAGGGCUUCACGCAUGCUACAAUGGCUGGUACAGAGAGUGGCGAGCCUGUGAGGGUGAGCGAAUCUCGGAAAGCCGGUCUCAGUUCGGAUUGGGGUCUGCAACUCGACCUCAUGAAGUCGGAGUCGCUAGUAAUCGCAGAUCAGCAACGCUGCGGUGAAUACGUUCCCGGGGCU
rnacentral:rRNA from 1 species